GUCAUAAAAAAUAGAGAAAACUGGAGUUGUCAUGACUGAAGGAGAGACAGUUGUAUGGAACCUACCUGACCUGCCACACACAUAUCCUCUGGGGAACUUCUGAGGAUGGCCCCCCAAACAUUAGCAACACAAACUGCUGGUGAGACAGAGCUGACAAUUUGAUGAGACAGAUGCUUACGGCAAUAAGAGAACACCAGCUCUGCAAAGUAUUGGCAAUGCCUGUGAAGUGAGGAGGAAAUUUCUAUACAGAAGAAUCAGAGAACAAUGUACCUGGAAAGGCUACUCCUAGAAGAAAAAGACAUGCUAAUGAAGAGAAAGGGAUGGCACCAAGUCAUGUUAACAUGGAACAUAAGGUAACAGAACUGGAGACAGGACAGAAUUAGACAUUCUUCCACCUACCUGGGGCCAUCUACAUAAUUGAUGCUUCUUUCAUUC